UGGGGAAUAUUGCGCAAUGGGGGGAACCCUGACGCAGCCAUGCCGCGUGAAUGAAGAAGGCCUUCGGGUUGUAAAGUUCUUUCGGUAUUGAGGAAGGUUGAUGUGUUAAUAGCACAUCAAAUUGACGUUAAAUACAGAAGAAGCACCGGCUAACUCCGUGCCAGCAGCCGCGGUAAUACGGAGGGUGCGAGCGUUAAUCGGAAUAACUGGGCGUAAAGGGCACGCAGGCGGUUAUUUAAGUGAGGUGUGAAAGCCCCGGGCUUAACCUGGGAAUUGCAUUCCAGACUGGGUAACUAGAGUACUUUAGGGAGGGGUAGAAUUCCACGUGUAGCGGUGAAAUGCGUAGAGAUGUGGAGGAAUACCGAAGGCGAAGGCAGCCCCUUGGGAAUGUACUGACGCUCAUGUGCGAAAGCGUGGGGAGCAAACAGGAUUAGAUACCCUGGUAGUCCACGCUGUAAACGCGGUCGAUUUGGGGGUUGGGGUUUAACUCUGGCGCCCGUAGCUNACGUGAUAAAUCGACCNCCUGGGGAGUANGGCCGCNAGGUNA
rnacentral:rRNA from 1 species